rnacentral:tRNA from 1 species
UCUCUCGUAGCUCAGUUGGCAGAGCGGCGGAUUGUUAAUCCGUUGGUCCCUGGUUCGAGUCCAGGCGAGAGAG